rnacentral:rRNA from 1 species
AGAAUCAACGCUGGCGGCGUGCCUAACACAUGCAAGUCGAACGAGAAAGUGGAGCAAUCCAUGAGUAAAGUGGCGCACGGGUGAGUAACACGUGACUAACCUACCCUUGAGUGGGGGAUAACCUAGGGAAACCUGGGCUAAUACCGCAUAAUACCUACGGGUCAAAGGAGCAAUUCGCUUAAGGAGGGGUCGCGGCAGAUUAGUUAGUUGGCGGGGUAAUGGCCCACCAAGACGAUGAUCUGUA